CUACCCAAUUUGGAACUCAAAUCCCUAACUUCUCAAUGCACUUCCCUCUCUCGCCUUCUCUCGUCGUCGGCGUAGCCGUUGUCCCUCCCUCUCUCAAUCCCACUCUCUUUCCCUCUCUCUUCUCACGGAGCGGAUCCCAAAUUACAACCCAAAAAUCCGCCGCAACUUCUCUCUCUCACUCAAACCAGCAACACACAUCACAACAUUUUCUCCCUCUCUCUCGGCCAAUUUCUUGCCCUUAAUGCUUAUUCUCUAAACCCUAAACCCAUUGUGGAGACACCAGUGCCGGUUCCUUGGUGAGCCUAUGGAUAUCAUGACUGCUCUGUGACCUGAAGAUGGGAUUGAAUUCGGAGUUCUUUAGAGCAAUGCAAUCUCUUCAGUGACAAGAAUUUGUAGACGUAUUGAAUUUGCUUCUUGUCGAGCUCUAUUUCCCAAAAUUGCUAGGGCAUUGUGAGAAGCAUAUGAGGCAAGUUGGCUAUGUCGCUGGCACACCGAUAUUCUGCAGCUAUGCUUCGAAGCCGGCGCGUGGCAGCAGAUUCUGCUCAUUUCCAAGCGCUUGAAACAGCUUGGGUAGAUUUUGUGCAGUGUCGGAUUUGUUUUAUUUUGUUGAUAUUUUUUCAAUAAUAUUCUUGUUUUAGCAUUCUCAUCAUUAACCUUUUGAUUAAUUUGGUUUGAGAUGAGAUGAAAAGUCGAUUGUUUUCAUUUACCCUUUAAGGUUCAGUAUUUAGUACUAGUACGAAGUUGAAAACGGCUGUAUGCGUUUUUUUAACUCGUUCAUGGCUUGAUUAGUGAUGUUGCUGCAAGCUCUUUUGCUGCCUUGUAGAUUCUUUAUCGCCUGUUAUUUAUUAUAUGGCCCCACUCACUCUCUCUCUCCCAGCAUGCUCAGUAUAUGGUAAGGAAAAAAAACUUAAUCACCGGAGAGUGCACGAAAAGCAAACUUUGGCUUGAGGACUUAGUAGGAAGUGAGAGGCUUGCAAAAACUGAUAUACAAGCUUUCAGGAACUCAAAGCUGACCUGUUUAUUCAAUUUUGCGACCCGAGUUAGAGGUGUUGAGUUGGUCCUGCUAGAGAACAAGUUGAUAUACAAGAGCUCCUAAAGAUAAAAACAAUGCUUGAGAAAGCUCAACUGGAAUGCAAGGCCAAAGAUAAUCUUUAAAAAAGGCUUGAAGAAAAUCAACAGAACCUUGAAAUCAAAGCUAAGGGAAAGGAUCAGUUUUACAAAAAAUAUUGGAAGAAACUAAAAGAGUUAGAGGGCCAAGUAGAGUUGAACUCAUCACUGCAAUGCCAAUAAGAGAGAAAGGUUUCACAUCUUUUGGAGAAGUUAAAAGGGAAAGAAGAAUCGUGUUCCAAACUUAAACACAAGGUCAGAUAAAACGAGAGAAAAAUAAAAGCUGAAAAAAGAGAAAAAAAGCUGAAACAACAAUAGAGAGAAAAAAAGACUGAAAUAGCACGAGGAAAAUCAUUCUACAACAUACAAAAAGAAGGUCUGAGAAGAAGCUGAGUGAGCAAAUACAACAAUUUGUGAGUCCAGUUCUCAAACACUUGAACACGAGGUUCCUUGCACUUGUUAAUGCAUUCAUUUUUUUGGAAAAGUGUGAUCCAACCCAAGUACAUUUUAAAAGAUAUACACGUAUAACAAAUGUUCAAUAAUUUCCUUAGGUCAAAGAGCUUGAAAGGAAGCUGACAUAAAAAGAAGAAAAUAAGGAUAUUCACUUCCUCUGUUUAGGGUAUAGGGUUUAGGGUUUAGGGUUUAGGGUUUAGGGUUUAGGUAGCUUGUAACGUGUUUAGGGUUUCGAGUUCGUGAUUGUGAAUCUGUGAUAGAGUUGUGUCCGAAUAACAAUUAUACGUCUAUUCUCUCAAACAAAUGGGAUAUCUUCAAGUGCCGAGUUCAUUUAAAGAUCCAUUUUUAUGUCCAAAUUACCACUACAAGGACAUUAAUU